ACUUGUCCAUGUUAGACCCUUCUUCACCGACAACUUUCCAACCUCAUUCAUGUUUCUGCACGUGUACGCCCU